rnacentral:rRNA from 1 species
CGCCCUUAGAGUUUGAUCAUGGCUCAGAUUGAACGCUGGCGGCAGGCUUAACACAUGCAAGUCGAACGGUAUGGGUGCUUGCACCUGACGAGUGGCGGACGGGUGAGUAAUGUAUGGGGAUCUGCCGAAUGGAAUGGGACAACAGUUGGAAACGACUGCUAAUACCGUAUAAUGUCGCGAGACCAAAGUGUUUCGACAUGCCAUUUGAUGAACCCAUAUGGGAUUAGCUAGUAGGUGGGGUAAUGGCUCACCUAGGCGACGAUCUCUAGCUGGUCUGAGAGGAUGACCAGCCACACUGGAACUGAGACACGGUCCAGACUCCUACGGGAGGCAGCAGUGGGGAAUAUUGCACAAUGGGGGAAACCCUGAUGCAGCCAUGCCGCGUGUAUGAAGAAGGCCUUAGGGUUGUAAAGUACUUUCGGUGAUGAGGAAGGUACUUGGUAAUCCAAGUAAUUGACGUUAAUUACAGAAGAAGCACCGGCUAACUCCGUGCCAGCAGCCGCGGUAAUACGGAGGGUGCGAGCGUUAAUCGGAAUGACUGGGCGUAAAGGGCA